rnacentral:rRNA from 1 species
UGGUGGAGUGAUUUGUCUGGUUAAUUCCGAUAACGAACGAGACCCCGUCCUACUUACUAGACCGAGGAUCCUCUCGUUCUCGCUGUCUUCUUAGAGGGACGAACUGCUUAUACCUUGAACUACAUGAAAUAGGGGCGAAUAACA